UUCACGGAGUUUGUAGCCCACUUUUACACACUUGCCUCCAAAACCUCCAUUAUUUUCAACAAUGCCCUUAUUCAUGUACAUUUCAAUUUUGUGUACAGAUAAAGUCAGUCUUCUGUGACAGAGCUCUCCCUGGGACCUGGCUCUCCCCUGGCAGUACAUCUGGCCACUCCAUAGGAGCUGCAGGUAUAGACAGCAUAUGUGUCAAAUGGCAUCCCCUUACUACAAGUUGAUGUGAGAUAGAAUGGUAAACCAUGCUCAUCUUAGCUUGCGUCUCCUGGCAUAGAAACUGGCUUUACAAGUGAAAUGGGUCAAGGAAAACUGAGGAUCAGUGUCCUAGGACUGAACAAAACUCUCACCCUUUGAAUGACAGCUGGGUGAUUAAAAUUAUUCAUGCCCAUAUAAUAUAUAAAUUCCAAAUAGGAAAAGGAAUAGCAAAGUCUGAGGUCUAGCCUUGCUCAAGUGAAACCACAGUACUAGACUGGGAGCUUAGGACUGAAUGAAUUCCUUCUGUUAACCAGAUCUGUGCUGAAUAGAGGAAAUGAAACUGACCUGGGGGAAAGGAUUAUAUUAUAGAUUAAAUGCCAUAGUUUUUCCUGCAUCUAGCAGACAGGAUUGAAUAAAUGUUUCUGCAGUUUCUUCAUGGCUUUAGAUCAAUUUCCAGAGAUUUUAAUUUUUUUAAUUUUCAUAAAUUAAAUGGCUAUUGCAUUAAGGAGAGAGUCUUACCCUACAUAUUUACACAAUCACUCCAGAACUCCCACUCACCUGACAGUUUAAAGAGGAAAAAGCUACUAGAUAUCUAGACCCAUUAUAAAGCUAUAGGAAUUACAAUAAUAGAUGAGGAUGAGUGAAAUGAUGAGGCACAAUGCAUUUUCAAUAUCUAGUGUUGGUCAUUGAUAUCUAUGUGGAAACGAUGCAUCUUUACCUCUACCUUACAUUGUACAUGAAAGUCAAUACCAGAUGGAUUUAAGUUCUCAGUGUCAAAGGAAAAUCAAACUAUCAAAUGCAUAGAGAGAAAGGACCACAGGGUAGGCAACUUUACUUAAAAAAUAACCAAAUUGAAAGUAUAAACCUUACUUCUAAAUAGAACAGUAAAAAUAAAUGUGCCAACUCUUCGAUAUUUCCUCCCAUUCAGUAGAUGGUAUUUUCACUUUGUCGCUGGUUUCAUUUGCUGUGCAAAAGUUUUAUGUUUAAUUAGGUCCCAUUUCUCAAUUUUUUUUGAUUUGCUUUAGGAGACAGAUCCAAUAAAAAAUAUUGCUACAAUUUAUGUUAAUGAAUAGUCUGCCUCUGCUUUCCUCUAGGAAUGUUAUGAUUUCUAGUCUUACAUUUAGGUCUUUAAUCCCUUUUUAUUUUAUUUUUGAAUAUGGGAUGAGGAAAUGCUCUGAUUUCAUUCUUUUAUAUAUAUAGCUGUUCAGUUUUCCCAGCACCACUUAUUAAAGAGACUGUCUUUUUUCCACUGCAUUCUCUCGCCUCUUCUCUCAUAGAAUAAUUGACUUAUAAGAAGGGGUCAUUUAUGGGCUCCUUUUCUGUUCAAUUGAUCUAUGUGUCUGUCUUGGUGCCAGUACCAUACUAUUUUGAUUGCUGUAGCUUUGUAGUAGAGAUGAAAUCAGAAAGCAGGAUACCUCCAGUUUUGUUAUCCUUUCUCAGGAUUGUUUUGGCUACUUGGGGUCUUUUCUGUUCCCAUACAAAUUUUAGAAUUAUUUGUACUAGUUCUGUGGAAAAUACCAUUUGUAUUUUGAUAGGCAUUUCACUGAAUCUGCACAUUGCUUUUUGGUGUAUUGUCAUUUUAACAAUAUUAAUUCUUCCAAUCCAUGACAGUGGGGCAACUUUCCAUUUCUGCUCUUUUCAAUUUCUUUCAUCAGUAUCUUAUAGUUUUCAGAGUACAGGUCUUUUGUCUCUUUAAGUGCAUUUAUUCCUAGGUAUUUUCUUCUUUUUGAUACAAUCACAAAUGGGACUGUUUCCUAAUUACUCUUUCUGAAAGUUUGUUCCUGGUGUACAGAUAUGCAACAGAUUCCUGAAUCCAAAUUCUGUAUCCUGUAGCUUUGCUGAAUUUAUUCACUGGGGUGGCAUCUUUAGGAUUUCCUAUUUAUAGUAUCAUGUCUUCUUUAAACAGUGACAGUUUUACAUCUUCCUUUCCAAUUUGGAUUCCUUUUAUUUCUUUUUAUUUUCCAAUUGCUGUGGUUAGGGCUUCUAAUACCAUGGGAAUAAAAGUGGUGAGAGUAGAGUGAGCACCCUUGUCUUAUUCCUGAUCUUAAAGGAAAUUUUUCAGCUUUUCACAAUUGAGUAUGGUAUUAGCCAUGGGAUUGUCACAUUUGGCCUUUUCCAUAGUGGUUGUACCAAUUUACGUUCCCAUCAACAGUGUAGAGGGUUCCCUUUUGUCCACAUCCUCUCCAGCAGCUACUGUUUGUAGACAUUUUGGACCAGUGUGAGGUGCUACCUCACUGUAGCACUUCUGUGGUAAUCAGCGAUACUGAGCAUCUUUUCAUGUGUUUUUUUUUUUUUUUUUUUUUUUUUUUGGCCAUUGGGCUAUCUUCUUUGAAGAUAUGUCUAUGUAGAUAUUCUGUCCAUUUUUUGAUAGGGUUGUUUGUUUUUUGAUACUGAGCUGCAUACGUUGUUUGCAUAUUUUCGGAGACUAAUCUCUUGUCAGUCACUUCAUUUGCAGAGAUUUUCUUCCAUUCUGUGGGUUGUCUUUUCACUUUAUGAUUUCCUUUGCUAUGCAAAAGCUUUUAAGUUUAAUUUGGUCCCAUUUGUUUACUUUUGUUUCUGUUUUGCUUAUCCUAGGAGGUGGAUCCAAAAAGAUAUUGCUGCAAUUUAUGCCAAGGAGUCUUCCACAUCUGCUUUCCUGCAGGAAUUUUAUAAUAUACAGUUUUACAUUAAGGUUUUUAAACCAUUUUGAGUUUAUUUUUGUGUGUGAUAUUAAAGAGUGUUCUACGUUCAUUCUUUACAUGGAGCUGUCCAGUUUUACCAGCACAGCUGAUUGAAGAGACUGUCUUUUAUCCACUGUAUAUUCUUGCUCCCUUAGUCAGAAAUUAGAUGACCCUAGGUAUGUGGGUUUAUUUCUGGGCUUUCCAUCCUAUUCCAUUGAUCUAUAUUUCUGUUUUUGUGACAAUACUCUGCUGUUUUGAAGACUGGAGCUUUGUAAUAUAUUCUGAAGUCAGGAAGCCUGAUUGCUCCAGUUCCACUUUUCUUCCUCAGGAUUGCUUUGGCUAUUCAUGGCCUUUUGUAUUUCCAUACAAAUUUUAAAAUUUUUUGUCCUAGUUUUGUGAAAAAUGCCAUUGGUAAUUUGAUAGGGAUAGCAUGGAUUGCCUUGGGUAGUAGAGUCAUUUAGACAACAUUGAUUCUUCCAAUCUAAGAGAAUGGCAUAUCUUUCUAUCCAUUUAUCUUCAGUUUCUUUCAUCAGUGUCUAUAGUUUUCAAAAUACAGGUCUUUUGCCUCCAUGGGUAGCUUUAUUUCUAGGUGUUUUACUCUUUUGGAACAAUGGUAAAUAGGAUUGUUUCCUGAAUUUCUCUUUCUGAUCUUUUGUUGUUAGUGUAUAGAAAUGCUAGAGAUUUCUGUAUAUUAAUCUUGUAUCCUGCAACUUUACUGAAUUCACUGAUGAGAUCCAGCAGUUUUCUGAUCUCAUCUUUAGGGGUUUUUAUGUAUAAUAUCAUGUCAUUGGCAAAGAGCAACAGGUUUUUUCCUUCUUUUCCAAUUUUGAUUCCUUUUAUUUCUUUUUCUUCUCUGAUUGUGGUGGAGAGGACUUCCAAAACCAUGUUGAAUAAAAGUGGGGAGAGUGAUAUCCUUAUGCAUCUCUGAGCAGCUAUAGUUACCCACUGCUGAGAAAUCCACUGAUAGCCUAAAGGAGUUCAUUUCUAUUUUGCAAUCUGCACACCUCUGCCCCUACCCAGCAAAAUCAAAGAAUUCUUUGAUUUUGAUACUUUGAUUUGGUACUUUCAUUACAAUGUAACUUAAAAAAGUCUUUUUCAUUAAAAUAAUAGUGUGAUCUAUUAGCUUCUUGGACAUAGAUCUCCAAUUAUAUCCAGGUAUAGGAAGAUUUCAGCAAUUACUAUUUGAACUAAAUUUUCUAUCCUCUUCUCUCUUCACCUUCCUGAAUCAAUAUUAUUUAGACAUUUUUUCUUUCACUUGAGUCCCACAGAUAAUGCAGGCUUUCUUCACUCAUUUUUAUUCUUCACACUUUGUUCUCUUGGAACUGUUAUUUGAAAGUUCCUAUUCUCUAACCCAGUUAUUCUAUCUUCCUUUUGCUCUAUUCUACCACGGUGCUCUGCAUUUCCAUCUCAUUCACUGAAUUCCUCAGUUUCAGAAUUUGUUUGGCUCUUUAUUAGCAUUUUUUUCUUUUUUAAUUUUAUUUUUUGGUAAAGAACUCCUUCUGUUCAUUUACAUUUUCCUAAUUCCAUUGAACUGUCUAAGUUUCUUAUAACUCACUGAGUUUCCUCAAUAUAUAGUUGUUUUUGAUUUUUUAACAGCUACAUUUCAGUAUCCCAUGCUUUGGGUUCAGUUGUUGGAGAUUUAUUGACAUUGUUGGUGUUGGCACAUUUCCUUUCGUUAUUAAAUUUCUUGUUCUAACAUCCAUACCCAAAUGAACAUACAAGGAGACUGCCAUAGAGUGUGAUGAAUGAGGGCUCAGCAUCUGGAGCUUUAGGGAUGCCCAUACCAUUUUCCACAUUCUACAUGAAAGAGACAGUCUCUUUCAACCUUCUCUGUGGGGUAGUUUGCCACUGGCGCUGCCAGGCACCUUAGCCCAUUUCAAUGUCACCCUGGGGAGAAAAAGGUGGCUCAGGCUGAGUUCCUCCUUCUCCACUGAGUCCAAACUAAUCCUUAUCCCACUUCUAUGAUGUGUAAGAAUCUUCUCUCAGACUGAAUUUCUACAAAUUUUCUCUCAUCUGUUGUGUUUCUCAUCAUUAUGUUUUUGUCACAGUCAGUAAUUUCUGGGGUUUUUUUUCCCUUGACCAAUGUGAGUGGAGACAUGGAAGGUUUGCCAAUCUCAUGGAUAUGCAAUCCAUACCAAGAUCUUGGAUGUUUACUGCAUGAUGCAAUAAAAAGCAAGAGUCUUCCUGGGUCCAGAGUGAGGAGGAACUUUAGCCAGUUGCCAUGGUCUUUAGAAUGGAAAAGUCUUGUUGCUAAGCAGUUCAAUCUGGAGCUUAAUCAACUAAGAGAUAAAAGGCAAGAAAUUUUUAUUGCCCUUUGCCACGUAAUGUUUCAAAUAAAAACAUCUUUAUUCUUAGACAUUGGUGGCACAAACUAUCAUAAAGCUAUAGCAAUAAAAUACCAUGGGAAUUAUUAAUUCUACCUCUGGUAAGUCAAGAAUUUAAUUUUGAAGGGGAGAAGUACUAGAAUUUGCAUACCUGAAGACAUAUACACAGCAAUCAAAUACAGUAUGAUUCUCUGCCAAAUGAUCAGAACUAAAGGAGGAUCUAUGUCCUUUAUUCUGCUGUUAUGUCCUAUUCUGCUCUAUUUUACUUGGUUGAGAGCCACAAAAUUAUGUUUUUUAAUGGGUUGUUACUCAUAGCUUGGAAAACACUAAAUUAGGCUAUAAAUAAGAGAGAGCGAGAAGGUGAUAAUUAAAAUAUAGAGACAGCUGAAUUUGAUGAAGCUGUGGGGGGAUGAAAGGAAUUUAUAAAAGUUUGAUAUAUGGCAGUCUGUAUCUAAGUUACUGUACUAUUAUGGCACCAUAUCACAUUAUUACUGAAAAUGUUACAUUCCAUCCAGAUGUUAUCCUAAGAGUCAGUGUAUAAAUUAAUAUUACAAGGACAAAUGCAGUCUGCCUCAAAUAUUCUUGGAGUUAAUUUUCCUAUUGCAUGCUCUCAAGCUGAGGUCUUAAAAAUAAAUCUGACCAAUUUAAAUUGGUUCAUUUCACUUUUUUGGUUCAUUUCACUCUUAAUAAUUCUUGUCACAAUACAUACUAUAUAAUAAUUACCAAAUACAUAUCAAGACACCAAGAACAAAUCAUGACAAUAAGAUUUUACUCAAAAUUUAGAAGUAGAAAUUAUGAGGAUUUUUAUUCACAAGUUAGAUACUGGUGUCUGCAAAGAUUUCAUUUAGGGAUAUUCUGUUCUUAUGGAGUCUUGGCAUUUUGUGAAAUAUCCUCCUCUUUGGUACUAAAAAAGUACACAAAUAUCUGAGGAUCUCAAGUCACUUUAAUUAUGAAGAUACUAUUCAGCCUAAAACAAGCCCCCAACCAAUUAUCUGCAACAAUCAAUAAAGGAAAAAAAUAUCUAAUUUUGUAUUAAACAUGCACAAAGAAAACUUGGCUUUAUGAUUUAAAGAACCAUUAGUGAAACUUAAUAACUACUUGUGAAAUAAAGACAGUAGAUUUCUCAGCUGACAGUCUAUAUGUUAAUGAGAAAAUACAGACGUCAUAAUAGUUAUUUAUAACUAUAAACUUAAUAAACAAUGUGGGCAACAAAGCUCGAUGUACUAAAAACAUGUUGAAGUAAAUAUCAGUUCAUGAUUUCAUUUUUUAGAGUGAAGUAUACCAGGUAAUUCAACUACCAAUUUGCAGUUCACCUUUUACUCAUUAAUUAGUAUAAACAUACACUGUGAUUCAUUUCCCCAGCAGUUUUCAUAGGUUUUUAUAGGAGUGAGAAAGUAAGGAAAAAUGAUUGAACUACUUGGGUUGAGGCUCUUAGCCAAUAGCGAUGGAAGUGAUGUAGCAUAGAACUAGGCUAGAGAUAAAAGAUAAAAUAAAGGGAACUCAAAAAGGGGGAAACAAUAAAAAAUUAUUUUCAUCCUUUAUAAAUUUUAGGAGUUCUGAUUAAGAAUAAAGUAGCCUGUUGAGAGUCCAGCAACCAGGCACAGACUACUGGCCCUACCCAUUGCCUCCCUCACCCUGAAAACACACUGACCAUCCCUGGGAUAGCAGCCUGCUCACAACAAAGAAAGAGAGAGCAAAUAAUCAAACUCCUACACCAAAAAUAAAGAGUAAC
rnacentral:lncRNA from 1 species